rnacentral:rRNA from 1 species
UACGUAGGGUGCGAGCGUUAAUCGGAAUUACUGGGCGUAAAGUGUGCGCAGGCGGCCGCGCAAGUCGAGUGUGAAAGCCCCGAGCUUAACUUGGGAAUUGCGCUCGAAACUACGUGGCUAGAGUGUGGCAGAGGGAGGUGGAAUUCCACGUGUAGCGGUGAAAUGCGUAGAGAUGUGGAGGAACACCGAUGGCGAAGGCAGCCUCCUGGGAUAACACUGACGCUCAUGCACGAAAGCGUGGGGAGCAAACAGG